rnacentral:rRNA from 1 species
AUUGAACGCUGGCGGCAUGCCUUACACAUGCAAGUCGAACGGCAGCACGGGGCAACCUGGUGGCGAGUGGCGAACGGGUGAGUAAUGCAUCGGAACGUACCUUUCAGUGGGGGAUAACGUAGCGAAAGUUACGCUAAUACCGCAUAUUCUGUGAGCAGGAAAGCAGGGGAUCGCAAGACCUUGCGCUGAUUGAGCGGCCGAUGUCAGAUUAGCUAGUUGGUGGGGUAAAGGCUCACCAAGGCGACGAUCUGUAGCGGGUCUGCGAGGAUGAUCCGCCACACUGGAACUGAGACACGCUCCAGACUCCUACGGGAGUGAGCAGUGGGGAAUUUUGGACAAUGGGGGCAACCCUGAUCCAGCCAUGCCGCGUGAGUGAAGAAGGCCUUCGGGUUGUAAAGCUCUUUCGGCCGGGAAGAAAUCGCACGGGCUAAUACCCUGUGCGGAUGACGGUACCGGCAUAAGAAGCACCGGCUAACUACGUGCCAGCAGCCGCCGUAACAC